UCAGGACAAGGGAAGGAGCACCAUCUGGUGGAAAACAGAUCAAAUUUAAAAGCAGUGAUUCUCCUGAUCUUUUCUUCAUCACCUGGCAAAGAACAAAGGAAUUACUAUCGCCUCUAAUUCACUUUGUACAGCUCUGGGAACCCCUGAUUUACUCUUCACAGAAUAUCAGAUCUGUCUCAAUGUAUGUCAUUGGUGCAGCUCAUCACAUGACAUAAAAAUGAGUCUGUGAGUCUGGGGAAGCUUGAAGUUCUAGGAUGGUUUUGAUCUGAAUUCUUAAGCAGAAUCAGAUUCAGGAACUUGGACCUUUCGUCUCGCCAAGGAGUCAUAAAGAGGGUGGUUAACCCACGAGCUGCAUUCCUCAAUGACACACUGACCUGCUUGGGAAGGCAGGAUACACGCCUCCUACACUUGCCCAUGUAGCUUAUACUGCAUCUGCCAAACAGCAACUGCAUCUUCCAAGGAGAAAUUUCCAGAGGUAACAGAGGUAAUAGUGAACUCAGACAUGGAGCCAAUGCUAAGAGAAGUAAGAAUUUGACUCACUUGCUGAAAGUAUUUGAUUAGUCCAUCCUGCUCCCUGUUUCAGUGUGAGAUCCAUGCCUGCCUGGGUAUGUUUAAUGUAGUCAUCUUGCUUUUUUGCAGGUAAUUGUGGGUUCAAGACAUGUAUGUGUCCUCCCAGAGACAUUCUCUUCUUUUAUUAUUUUUAUUUUUAAAUGGAAAUAGAAUUUAAACAAGGAGCUACCUUUUCCCACUCUGUAGUUAAACACAAAGGCUUCAUAAGUUUAAGAUAAAUACAUAUUGGUUUAAAAUGUCAGGCUUCAAGAUUUGGAUGUAAUUGUGUUAUGAUCUCAAUGAACACAGACUGCUUGUUUAUUGUGUUCUUUAUUGAAAAUUCUCUAUUCAAAUUGAGUUUGAGGUUUCUCGUUGCCACAAGAUAUAUAAUUCUUUCUUUGACCACACUCGUAUUCUUCUGUUUGUUGUUUGGGAUUUUUUUUUUUUCCUGUAAUGAACUAAUAAGAGGGAUGGUUGCAAAAUGAGUCUACAGGUUUCGUGUAAAGCUACUGCAGACAGUCAGUUGAAGCCAUUUGUAUCUAAUUGAUUAAGCUGCAUGACAAGUUUCAGAUCAGAGUUCCAUUUUGUGAAGUAGUUACAUGCAUUGGCAGAUAGAUAGAUAGAUAGAUAGAUAGAUAGAUAGAUAGAUAGAUAGAUAGAUAGAUGACCAAAUUUUAAUGGAAGAGUAUUCAAACCCUUGGAGCUCUAGAACACUUAGAAACAUCCUGAAUGAGCAGAAAGAAGCCUUUGCAAUUGAUAUCUUCAUAUUAUAUCCUUGUCCUAUAGGCAGUUAUAAACAGGACUUUUAAGCAAAUUGAGGUAUCCAAAUCUGCUUUCUGUUGAGGUUUACAAAUAUAUUCCCCUCUGAAAAUUCUAGGUCAUGUAUGGCUACUGUAUUUAUUUCAAGAAAAAUAUUGAAAUGACAGAUGAAUCACUUAGAUGAUACCUACCUUUCAAUACUUAAUAAUGCAUGUGUCUUAAAGGAGUUGAUUUAUCUUAAUGGCAAUGACACUCUAAAAUGUACCUCAUCACGUGUCUAAAUGGAGGAGGACUGCAGUCACAUUAGGUACUGAAGACUUUCUAGGCAAAAUUUAAAAAUAAAGAGAAGGGAUUGUUCUUAUUUGAAAACUGAAAUUCCUGUUAAAAGUCUAUUAAAUGCUAGAGGUUCCUUCCAAAAGGUAAUGUUCACAGUUUUGCAGGGAAAAAAAAUGCAAAGAAUAAUAUAAACUGGGGGCUAAAAACUGAAGCAAGAAGGACAAGUGGUCCUUGUGCCUGUAAAGCUUACACUGUCAAACAUUGCAGAAGCACUAUCUAAAAACAACUGUAUCCCACUCUCAUACACUAUCUAAUCUAUGUGACAGCUGAUGCUGUUGUAAUGCAGACUCUUGGUUUUCCCAAAGGGAAGACUGAAGGUCUGAAAAUACCAUUGCAGACCCCAACAGUAAAAAUGUACAAACAAACUCUCCUUAUUUUCUAGGGGUUUGGCACGCAUGCGGGAUGGCAGCUCCCCAUUGCUCCCUGCCUCUGCCCUCCCAGGGCACCUCCCUGGCAGCUCUUCCCUCACAGAAUUGUACAGACACUUAUUAGAGCAAAUGUUCUCCAAGCAUGACAACUGAUUACUAUCUGACUUGGCCAUGGUACAGCCUGAGCGUGUUAAGACCUGACAGUAUUUCAGUGUUGUAAAAGGAAUUCAGUGUGCAGUGAGGGCAUGCCUCCUAAACUUCACUGGAAGUUGGUUUGGGAGAGAUCUGUAAGCCAGCAUCACAGAAAAUUAAUGCAUGGUAAUAGGAGUAGUAUAGCAUAUGUAAUCCUAGCUGAGUUCAUUAAAAAAGGAAAAAUAUAGCAAUUGUUGAAGAAACUAACAUUGUACUUGCUAGCUCCCAGUUCCAUUUCCUGGCUUUUUGGCUGACCACUGUCUGUCAUCUGUCUAUUCAGGAAAGUGGACAUGAAUUAGUUAAGUGUGUGAAGUUGUUAUGUAUAUCUUAAAGGAAAUUAAACCUCCGAGUCAGUGCUCUCACAUAGCCUUAAACCACAAUAGCCCAAUCCUCAAGAGUAAAAUGAUGAUAUUUAGCUUUCUUUAACAAGCAUAAUUUAUCCUACCCUAGCUGUCAUUCUAUCUUCUGUCAAGUUUUUGCAGAGCUCUAGUCACAUACUCUUGUAUUCUGAUCCUUUUAGUAUGUGAGGGAAAUGAGGAAGUUCAGAUGUGAAUCCUCUGGGAAUGCAAAAGGAAAGCCAAGUGCCCCUUCCCCAGUGCCUCUUGCCUGCCCACCCAGACCAUGCAAAUGUUCUUUUGAGAUGUGUGAAGGGUUAAGAAUUGUUCUUCAUGCAUAACAAGGUGCAUGCUAAUCCUUCAUGCUCUAUUCCUAAAAUGUCAAAAGCAUUGUUUGAGCUAAGAGCAUUGGCAGCAUUAAGAUUUCUGUACUCCCGAACUUUCCUGAGGAACAGCAGACACAGAAAUGUUCAUUUCUUUCUGGAAGCUGUGUAGUUAAGGGUUAGUUUCAACUGACUGCUGCACUAGUGGCUUUCAAGGUUAUUUCAUGGGGAAACUCAACAAAAUUAAACAGAAGAACAGCCUUAAGUGGCCUUUCCAAAUAGUCGUGGACUACCACUAUGCUUCUUCACAGAACAAAUUACUGCUACCCCAAUUUUCAGGAUUAAACCAAAGCAAAAGGUCAAAUGUGUGCAUUUCUACAAAGAAAUGCGUGGCAAGACAAGAAGUCAGGUGCCAGUGUCCUGGUUGCUAGCUGCUCUCAGUGUCCCUGGGCUGUACUUUGAGUUGUCUUUCUCUGUGUUCUGAACAAAACACACAUCCCUCUGAGCUUCCUGAACAGUUUGGAAGGGCUUUUGAAGCAGCACUUUCUUCCAAGGAUUUAGUGUGCAGUGUUAAUGGUGUACUGCUUUAGGAAGAAGAAAAUCUUCCAGUGGAAAGAGGCCUACCUAUAUAGACACCCACCAUCUAGACAGCCAUAAUGGUUCUGCAGGCAGAACCAUUGCUCUUUUCCUGUUGUGUCCUCCAGAUGAAUUUCAGUCAGGAUCAGUGAAUAUUUUGCCCUUCUAUCUUGUACCAGGGAAGGUGACAAAAAACUUUUAGAAAUCCAACUGGUUACUUGGUUAGUUCCAUUCACUUGUAAUUCCCUUCAUGAUCACGCAGUCCUGCAGGAUUUAUUAAUUCUCAUAACUCGGUUUUCCAACUAAGGCUGUCAUGAGUAUUUUCACUCCAUUUCUUGUGCCUCAAUUCAUAAACAUUUCGUGAGGUUAGAUUAGUAUCAAUGGAAAAGCCUAAGAAAGAAUUUUUGCUUGUAAGAAAGACCUUGUGUUUCUCAUCCAUGGACAGAGAGGGAAGAGUUUACUUAACUGAAACAGUUCACAGUUUGUGGUUGAGACAUAUUUGCUUUUCUGGUCACUAAAACAUAUGAGCUGCCUUUGCAGGCAGUGGCAAAGGCGUACUCAGGUUUGUGUAGCAACUAAGAGGUUACUUUUCUGUGCCUUUUAGUUUCAAGGAUUUUGAAACAGGUUCAAACACUUUCUGCAGUUUCGUCUUUCACUGACUCCCUUAAUCCCCCCAAGCUUGGCACCAUUUCUCACUCAUGUUUAUAUUUUAAUCUCGAAUUUCUUGCUUGAGAGCUAUAUUGUUUAAACCUGAGGCUGUCAGUGAUGGUGCAUCUGGGAGUUUUGUUACCGAUUUUCCAGCAGCUUCUCACGAUUUGGGGUGUGUGGGUGUGUAUGAGAGGGGUUUGUGUUCAGGGAGGGCGCGCAUGAACUCUGCAGGAGGCUGAUCAUGGUAGCUCAUUUUAGCUUUGCAUGUUUUGUCCUGAAUGCCCAUGAGGUAACGUACCAACUAGUACCAAGAGACUGUCCAGCCUGUUACAGCCCUCUGCAUGUUAUCCACUACUGUCUUUUCUGGUGGACACUGAUGAAGUCCCAACAAGAAAUCUGAGGUCAAUCAAGAGUGACCUCAUGGCUGGAGCACAAUUGGUGUUCUCCUCUAUCCUGUGAGUUUCAGGGAAUAAUGGGGGUAGAAGCAGGAAAAUCACACAGAAGCCUAAAGCCUCACCUGGCUCUGAGCCUGCUGUUACCAGCAGAAUUUUUGAUCACAGGUCAGCUUGCAUGACACCGAGCUUUCUGGCAACAGACGUUAAAAAAGGAUCUUUGCUCAGGAGGUAGCAGGUAACCCAGAUUAAAUGAGGGGAGGGGAUAAAACUGGGAUCAAUAGGGAUAAGCACUUCAAUUUCUGCUGGUUUUGUUUUCCAAGCAUUCUGCCUAUCCUCACUAGGACCCUGCUGGAGACGUGCAAACCCAACAAUGUCUCUAAAACUUGCCUAGCACAGAGGGCUUCAGCCAAAUCUGCCACAGGGCAAACUGCUCCUCAGACCAGGUUGCUCAGGGCCCCAUCCAACAUAACCCUGAACGCUUCCAAGGAUGGGAGUGUGGGCUUCACAACAAGGGGGACUCAAGCUUACAAAGCUACAGAAUCUGCAAGGUGUAAAGAAAGGUAUAGCUUUGUUCAGACUUACCUAAAACCCCAUUUUCAUUCAUUAUGCCUUUCUAGGCUCUGGUGAGUAGGAACAAAAAAUGUGGCCUCAACUUCAGAAUGAUUAAAUGUAUUUUUCUAAGACACAGACAGAUUUGUUAAACCAAGAAACCUAUUGUGUGUACACAUCUCUAAAUCAGCUUUUCAUAUUGCCCCACACUUUUUAAACAUGAAAGUGAAAACAUUUUUAGGGAGCAUCAAAUGAUGAGUAGCAUGAAACGCAUACAGAUGAUGGUCCUCAGGCCAGAAUGAAUAUGAGAUUCUUUACCUUUGGAUCCUUGCUUUACUUGCUUUUACCCAAAAUCCUUACUUUCAAGCAGAGGUUGUAGUGAGGUUGUCAGUAUCUUCUCCCGAGAAACAAGUGACAGGAUGACAGGAAAUGACCUCAAGUUGCACCAAGGGAAGUUUAGAUUGUAUAUUAGGAAAAAUUUCUUCACUGGCUGUCAAGAAUUGGAACAGGCUGCCCAGGUAUGUGUUUGUAUCACCAUUCCUGGAGGUAUUUAUAAGAGCUGUAGAUGUGGUGUUUAGGGACAUGGUUUAAUGCUGGACAUGGCAGUGCUGAGUUAACAGCUGGACUUGAUGAUCUUAGAAGUCUUUUCCAGCCUAAAUAAUUCUAUGAUCUCCUGUGUAGAUAGGCAUCUUCUUGAAUAUAGGCCAUCUCGACUUCUGAGAGAAAUUUUGCCUUUUUUAUGGGCCUUGUAAAUGGAGAGAUGAAAGAUAUAUUUGCAUGGUGAUAAUUUUUACAGCACUAAGUUGAUCUCUCCUGCUGUUUUCUAACCCUUGAGCUGUCUCGGAUUGAUCAACCGUAUUGUUUCCUAACUCCUCUGACCUGAAUCUCUAGGGGAAUUCCCAUCAUAUUUCAAAGGUCAAAGACACACCCUUGCUUUUUCUUCCCCUUUAAAAAAUAAAAGAAGGUUGUGCAAAGCAUUUUGACCCUCAUUUCUGGUGACAUGAGAAAAAUGGCUGUCACUCCACCUGAUACUCCUUAGCAGGGAUACAUCUAUAUACUUUUGUUUGUUGGAGCAGCUGCCCACUCACAGCAUCUAAAACUGUGGGAGGUGGCUAAUGUAGUUAGAAGAAGAGUGGGAUCUAAAAGUGGAACCAUUUCACAUCCCAGUGAACUGGAUUUUGGGUUAAGAGACCAGUGCCUGUGCUAAGUCUGUGGCUCUGCUUCCUUUCUGCCAAGUAGAAGGCAAGAGAGAACAUGAGUUCUCCCAUUAUGUAGUAAAUCCAAUUUCUUGAGUUAAAAAGUGCACGAAGUCUUUUUGGCAUCUAAGCAUCCUUUUCUGUAGAAAAGUCAAAACUAUGCUGUUGGGUUUGGCUGGAGAAGCAAAGUUUCCUUUCUGAUCCAUCUCCUACAAAUGCAAGCAGCUGUUGCCAGACAAACUCAAAACCUCAAGUGUUGCCUAUUCUUCACCACCAAGGCUCUAGUCAGACUUUGUUUUUUCUCUGUGUUUCUUUCCGUCACCAGUUUAAAUUUUAACAGUAAAAACAUUCAACGCUGCCUUCUCACAAGAAUUUCUGAGAGCAGGAAAUGUGCAGCAUAAGAAUCUUUAACACACAGUGAUGGCUCCACAUAAAGCCAAGGAGAAUGCCAGUGUUCCAUCAUUCUCCAGCCCUACCCUGUCUGGUGUAGACAAUCUUUAGGAUGCAAGGGAAUGGUAUCUCAGAGACCUGGGAACUUGUUCUAUGAUGCAGCCUUGUUUAUACAUGGUCCUGGUUUCUUUUCACUUAUGGACUCUCCUGUCUCUAGUCAGUAGCACUGUUUCUGUGUGGGAUUACACCACAAGAAAAAGAAAAGGAAAAGGGAAAAAAGGGAGGAAAAAAGUGGAAAAUCUGUACCUUUUCAGAGGAUAGAAAACUUGUGGGACUAGUUGCUGCAAAAGUCAGCAAAAGCCUGAUAAAUGCUGAGCGUGGCAUGAUUCUUAUAGAGAGGAUUUACAUGUAUAUGGGUGAAGAUGUGAUGCAGUGUGUUCAUGACAUUCUCUGCUAUGAUUGACCUUGAAUUGUUUGGUGUCGGUGAGUCCUGAAUGGAGUCAACAGGGUUAAUCAGGUUUCUCUUCUUCUGUAGCUGAAAGAAAAGAAACUAGAUUAGUAUUUAUGGUAUUGCCAUCCCCACACUUUUUACAUCAUAUAAGUCAAAGUCUCGGGUCACUCUUAUAAUGGCGAGCGAUAAAAAAUAAUAACAGGUUAUAAACUAGGAAAUAUCAGAUGAAGCCAGCUUAAUAGACUUUGAACAAAGUCCACUUUUUCAAAUCAAAAUCAGAGAUGUAUCUGAAUCAGAGACAUCUCACUGUGGAAUUCUUCAGCAUCCAUUUACACACCCCAGCAAUACUUCUCCAAGCAGUCUGAGAAGCUCUGUGAUUGACAAUUUUAUUAAAAACUGUGAAAGACUGUGUCAUGGAUUAAUCCACACUUCUUCCUGCUAAUCUCAAGAGUUUAGUCAACCUAAUUUAAACCUGUACCUUUGUUCAUAAGCUGGGCACUAAGGCUCAGGUCCUUCUGUGCAAAACCAAGUACACAGCAUGGACUGGGGCUGACUUGAGAAUUCACAAGUGCAGAAUAAGACUGUAUCAAAAAAGAAGUCUGUCCCCACAUCCUUAAGAAAUUAGGAUUUUAUUUAAAUAUCUGCAUGGAGUAGUAGAGAAAGGAGAGGAAAUCUCUUUUAAUGGCUCAUUUCUUAGGGUUAUACGUAUACAUUUUUUUUUCAUACAGCCUUUGAGAUCCCUUCUGUAUGUGCAAAAACUCCUUAUUUCUACAGCUAUUGAUGUUUACAAGGUUAUGAAAAAUUUCCUGUCUGGAUUAUCCCACAGUUUAUAUGCUACUUUAUCAAUGCAAGCCACAUUAGAAGAAAUCAGACGGUUUGCUUUGGACAAGGUGAUAAGCUGUUGCACAACCUUACAUGUUUGGUCUCACAGACUGAGUUUCUGGAAAGAUCUUUCUGCAAUGGAAAUGCCACAGUAUAUGUGCAUUUCCCCUAAAGGUAGAAGUGAAUCCCAUCAUUUUACCGUUUUGAAAGAAAUGUGAAGAGAGAAAUACUGAAGAAAGGUAAGCAGAGAAGGAAAUUGAAAAAGAAGCACAGAGUAGAGAGAUCAGUCAAUUGAAGGAGAGCAAGGAGAGUGCAGUGGGAGAAGGCAGGCAGGUCGUCUAAGGCUAAAGCUUUGCCCAAAUGAGCCUGUAGACUUUAGUCAUGUUUGUCAGCCGUCAUCUUGUGUAACAAGAGGUAAUUUUCCUGGGACAAUGUGCUGUUCUGAAGUGGCUGGCUGAGACACUGCACCCAGGUGGCCUUCACCCAGCUCCAUUAGCAGUGUUUCUUGGCAUGGCCCCUAUUGUGCUGGGGAGGUAAAAUGUGGCACUCCCUCUGAGUCACCUCUCCUUAUAUUCACACCAUGCAACAUCACCUUGCAUCAGAGCUGCUUCUCCCUAACCCACGUCACACCAGUAGCGUGAGGCACACGUGACAAUAGCACGGUGAAGCUCCUGAGGCUCCCAUCAGCACAUCAUGGAGCAAAGAAAUGCCUCCACUUGUGGUGACACCUGCCUAAAUUUUUUGCUCUUGCUGUUUAUGCAGGCAUCCUCAAGAGACUACUAAUUAGAUAGAGCUCUGGGGCACAAAAAUCAAAACUAUUCCUAUUUUAUAUUUUUUUGAAAAUAUCAUAUUAUGUUAGAUGUAUGGUUUUCUGUAGGUCCACAGUUUGUGGUAAUCAGGGUGGGGCUGCAGCCGAGCCUCAUCCCUAAUGGGCUACAGCUGUGAGAAGCAGGUGAGCAGCAUUGGAAGCAAUGAGACCUGGAGUGCCCAGGUGCACUGACCAAUCACCAAAGGGAACAGAGGGCACACAGGUGCACUGCAUGAACAUGAGGGGUAUAAAAGGUUGGGCUAAAUAACAAGAAGAGCAGAUAUUUCUAGCCUUCUGAAGUGGUGUGAUGGUAUGCUGUAUGGAUAGACACCUGAAGCCUUCUGAUGUGGCGUAGUGCUACUCACUCUGUAUGGGUUAAUGAUUUAAGCCUUCUCCAGUUGUAUGGUGAUGCUCUGUGUAUUGUGGCCCUCUCAGCAUAUGCUGUGACACUUUUCAUUCACCAAUUCAUUCUCACUGCCUCUAGAAUUGCUGAUUGGUUGCUUCUAAUGAUGCCAAGCAUUCUAUCCAUGAAUCCUAUUUAAAUUUCUUUACAAUCAUUUCAGACCUAAAAGCAGCUGCAUCUGGGCUAGAACCUAGCAGGCUUUUGUAGAUCUAAGAGGCAGAGAUGUCUCCUGACCUCAGGUGAGUGCUGUUCAUUUUCUAACACCCACGGUGGUUUGCUGUGUGACUUUAAUCCAGGUACUUUUCUGCAUCCGGGUCUCUGCUAGGUGCAAACAGUGAGAACACCACUUCCUGGGCUUUGAGAGCUCUAAACAAAAUUUGAUAGCCCUUCUUACAUGCUAGGGUCACAAAAGAAGGAGUGAGACUCUCCUUAGUUAAGUGCUUAAACAGCAGGUUUGCUUAGGUGGUCCAUAAGCCACACUUGCAUAAAUCAACAAAGAGGAUUAAGAUAAGAAGCAAAAAAACCAAUGCAGGAUUAAAAAAAAGGUAAACUUUCUGUACUUAAGAGUGUAUCUCCCCCUAUCUCUGGGUAUACUAUAUAUUAUCACUGUCAUCUAAAGGGGUGUGUAUAAGAACUUGAAAAACCAAACCAGCCUGUCUCUAAUUUGUUCCGUAUAUCACAGUCCUGCAGGUGGCUUUAUUCCUAAAGUGCUGGGCUGUGCUGCUGUUGGAGCCUCCUGCUCCCAAGACCUCCUUCUGGACUUAAGUGCUGCAUCAGGAUAAAUCACCUGCCUAAAAGUAAACUCCAUUUUUUUACUGAAGUCAUUGUUAAUAAAAGAGCUGUAGGCUGCCAAAA